AGCUUCCCCGGGCUGUUUUGCUACUGGCCAAAAAGGGGCUUUGCUACCACCUUGGAUUACUGUGACAGAGAAACGAAACCUUGUGUGAAAAACGUAUCCAUCGCAUCAGAGUGGGAACCAGGAUCUUAUCCGGCUUACAAUGCUCUUGACUGUAACAUCUGCAAGGGACACACGGGAGCCCUGAAAGGCCUGGUGUCUCUACAGGGAGGAUGACUCUUCAGCCACUGUCCUUUGCUUCUGUCUCCCGUUGUAGACCAGGCUGGCCUCGAACUCAGAAAUCCGCCUGCCUCUGCCUCCCCAGUGCAGGGAUUAAAGGCGUGCGCCACCACACCUGGCAAGGAAAUGAAUUUUAUGGAGAAAUAAAUAAUAAAGAGAAUUCUGACGCUGGGCAGUGGUGGCACACACCUUUAAUCCCAGCAUAUGGGAGUCAGAGAGGCAGAAAGAUCUUUGAGUUUGAGGCCAGCCUAGUCUUUGGAGUGAGUUUGGGGACAGGCCCUGGGUGCUGUGGGGUAAGGGGGCGGGUGUGUAAGAAUGGACCCCAUUCACCAGGGCUUCUUUGCAAAGGUUCAGGGCUCUUUCCCUGCUGGCCUUGAAGGCCUCAGAACAAACCUGAGGAUGUAAUACUGGUGGAUAGAUGGGACUCCCAAGCUGGGCGGUGGUGGCGCAUGCCUUUAAUCCCAGCACUUGGGAGGCAGAGGCAGGCAGAUUUCUGAGUUCGAGGCCAGCCUGGUCUACAAAGUGAGUUCCAGGACAGCCAGGGCUAAACAGAGAAACCCUGUCUUG
rnacentral:lncRNA from 1 species